rnacentral:rRNA from 1 species
AGUGAACGCUGGCGGUAGGCCUAACACAUGCAAGUCGAACGGCAGCACAGUAAGAGCUUGCUCUUACGGGUGGCGAGUGGCGGACGGGUGAGGAAUACAUCGGAAUCUACUUUUUCGUGGGGGAUAACGUAGGGAAACUUACGCUAAUACCGCAUACGACCUACGGGUGAAAGCAGGGGAUCUUCGGACCUUGCGCGAUUGAAUGAGCCGAUGUCGGAUUAGCUAGUUGGCGGGGUAAAGGCCCACCAAGGCGACGAUCCGUAGCUGGUCUGAGAGGAUGAUCAGCCACACUGGAACUGAGACACGGUCCAGACUCCUACGGGAGGCAGCGGUAGGGAAUAUUGGACAAUGGGCGCAAGCCUGAUCCAGCCAUACCGCGUGGGUGAAGAAGGCCUUCGGGUUGUAAAGCCCUUUUGUCGGGAAAGAAAAGCAGCAGGUUAAUACCCCGCUGUUCUGACGGUACCCAAAGAAUAAGCACCGGCUAACUUCGUG